CAGUCGCCGCGGUAAUGCGAAGGGGGCUAGCGUUGUUCGGAAUCACUGGGCGUAAAGCGCACGUAGGCGGAUCUUUAAGUCAGGGGUGAAAUCCCGAGGCUCAACCUCGGAACUGCCUUUGAUACUGGGGAUCUCGAGUCCGGGAGAGGUGAGUGGAACUGCGAGUGUAGAGGUGAAAUUCGUAGAUAUUCGCAAGAACACCAGUGGCGAAGGCGGCUCACUGGCCCGGAACUGACGCUGAGGUGCGAAAGCGUGGGGAGCAAACAGGAUUAGAUACCCCAGUAGUCCCUGUCUCUUAUAC
rnacentral:rRNA from 1 species